rnacentral:sRNA from 1 species
AGAUCUCAUCUGUCUCUGGGACAGGAGGACCUGGGUUCUGCACUGGUGAGGCUGAGUGUGGGGAGCAGGCUCUGAGCCCCCAGCUCCCCGUGUCCCCUGCUCCCCAGGUGUACAGUGCCACCAACGUGGAGCUGGUGACACGCACACGCACGGAGCACCUCUCUGAUCAGGACAAGUCGAGGAGCAAAGGUAAACCCAGCUUUGAAGAGCAGCUGCGCCUGGCCCUGGAGUUGUCUUCACGGGAGCAGGAGGAGCGGGAGCGGCGCGGGCAGCAGGAGGAGGAGGACUUACAGCGGAUCCUGCAGCUGUCACUCACUGAGCACUGAGCCACAGCCCUGGGAGGGCUGGCCAGGCCACUCCCUGCCCGCUUUUGUAAUUUAUUUAUUUAUAAACUCUCUGCUGCUGAGCUUGGGGCCUGGAGCCCCAGGAAUGAGCAGGCAGGGGAGACUGAGAUGGAAAUAAAGAGACUGUCGCAGC